rnacentral:rRNA from 1 species
UAAAAAUUUAAAUUUAAAAUACUAAAAUAGUAUAUAAUUAUUUAUUGAAACUUAAAUAAUUUGGCGGUAUUUCAGUUCAUUUAGAGGAAUCUGUUUAUUAAUUGAUAAUCCACGAAUGAAUUUACUUAAUUUAAAAUUUUGUAUAUCGUUGUUAAAAAAAUAUUUUUAAAUGAAAAUAAUAUUUUAAUUUUAUAAUUAAAAAUUAAAUCAGAUCAAGAUGCAGAUUAUAAUUAAGAAUAUAAUGGAUUACAAUAAAUUUAUUUAAAUGGAUUUUUUUUUGUAAUAAAAAUGUGUUUGUGGAUUUAAAUGUAAUUUUAUUUAUUUUAAUAAAAUGAUUAUAUAUUAAAAUAUGUACAUAUUGCCCGUCGCUUUCAUAAAUAAAUUGGAAUAAGUCGUAACAAAGUAGAGGUACUGGAAAGUGUUUCUAGAAAUAA